UACAAAAAGUCUCCACAUCCAUUGCGUAAAAUCUUUUCCGUUGUAUGAAUGAGAGCAUUUCUCACUGAAGUGUGAAAGGAUUUUAGUUUAUGUUCUCACCAUACUCAAGAAUAUAACGUGGAACCUAUUUCACGUUUGUAUUAUGAGCCUGGCAUACGCACAGACAUUUUUGGAGGCUGGUGCUCAAGCCAGAAAAGGGAACCCAUCAGCAAUCAAGAAAAAAAUUGUGUUUGUUUAAGUAAAGUAAAGUAUGAGUAUUUAUUUAUUUGUCACAUUUAAGAUGGACAAUAAUACCACUAAAAAGUGAUGACGCUAUUGAAAUGAAAUGAAGUACAUUUCAGCAGUGUGUGUGAGACAACAUGAGACCUUCGGAGUGUUGUGCUGCGACAAGGGAGGACAUGUUUGUUUGACAAGGUGCACGGUGACGUCAUCGCAACAGGAAGCGAAGGCCACGCCCCCUCAGCCACAAGUCAGCAUUCACGACGACCACCAGCGCAGACAUGAAUCGGCUACUCGUGAGCGUGCUGAUGGCCGCUUUGAGUCUCGGAAACGGACAGGAAAUGGUGCGCCAGCCAAAAGGCCACGUCCACGCCGUGGAGGGCGAAAAGGUGACGCUGGACUGCAGCUUCGACAAGUCUCAGAGCACCGACUACAUCUUCUGGUACAAACAGGAAGUGAACGCGGCACCCGAGUUUGUUCUGAGCAUCUUUAAGAUCGGUCAGGGCAAGACGGAGAAGAAGUACGCCGACAGGUUUCGCUCCAUCAUGAACACCAGCACCCUGCGAGCUCCUCUGCACAUCGAGAGCGUGAAACCGAGCGACUCUGGAGUCUACCACUGCGCCCUGCAGCCCACGCUGACACAUUCGCUGGGGUGCCUGUACAAAAACUCCUGCACCCGCCUCACUCCACGUCACGUUGUGGGCAGGGUCUCGCCGGAGGAGACGAGUCAGGUCUUGAAAACACGCAAACCCGACAGCGGUUACAUUGACAAAAACAGAAAUCCAAAGUACCUCCCUAAUGCCCACUAGUAUGAACACAGUUGUCACCGGCCGAGUUCAAAAACCCAAUAAAGACCCGACACAACUAGCCAGCGUGUAAACUGUGGCAGCAGGCUGAUGCGGCUCCUUUCGAGUGCCUCGUUGUCACGGUGCAGAAAAGCCAGAUGAUGGCCCAAAGGGAUCGUGACUGGACACCGGAGGCUUUUAGCGGCUUUUAUUUGAAGACUCAGACGUUGAACCAUGUUGGCGUAAGAAAGACGCUCAAUUAUGUUGCAUCCGAUAACAUAAUUCACAAUGUUUUUUUUACAUGCAAUCAAGCACACAGGUGUGCGACCCCGUACCGCCUCACAUACGCACUUCCUGCCCGAGGCGAAGAUGCAAAAAAUAAAAACGAGACACGUUGCUCGACCCUCUCAUCGGAGUCAUUCAGGUCACAUGAUUGGCAGAAAACGACGAGGAUGAAUAUAACGUGGGUAAACUACGUUAGCGAUUCCAAAAUGUUCACACUGCUCAACUACAGCGUGAAAAGGCCUUUCGACCUGACCUCCGUUGCCUCCCCACAAUCUGCAUCCUGUCCCAGAAAGCUUUGAAGACACAAACCAGAACUGCUGUCAUCUGUGACGCAGGUGCCGUGGCGACCGCUUCCUGUGGAAAGAGUCUCGAAGACCCAACAAAUCAAAAAACAGGCAAAGUCGCAUUCAGAUGUUAUGAAUACGUUGUAAGUAAGCGACAUUUGAAACAUUGGUUCGGAAUAUGGUUAGGGUUAUCAAAUAAAAAGUAAAAACAAUCAGUGUGGAAAGAAAUUGCUGUAAAUUAUCCACAGAAACUGGCAUGUCUCCAUCACCUGCAAAAAGGAUACAUUUGAAGGAUUUUGAUACAUAGCGAGCAUCGUUUAUGUACAUUAAAUAACAUUGGUCCCAGCGUUGACCCUUGUGGGACACCACACACAAUGCCAAAGAAUUCUGACUGAUGUCCAUCCGUCAUCACAAACUUUUGCCCUUUUCUCCAAAUGGCUUCCCACACUUUUCAUAUCUUCCCAAGCCCCCAACCCACUCCCAAAUAUCACAUUGUUUGAAAUUACGCAUAUAUUGUUAUUUAUUUUAUCAAAUGAAUAAAUGUCACACUCACUGAUAUUUUAUCGUUUCUUCGAUGAGUUCUGUUCAGGGUCGGGGUUGAGCCCGAUUUGCCCUGAAACCGUGAUGACUAUCGGUGAGUAAUACAUUUUUAUUUACACAAACUAUUUCAAAAGACAUGUUCACAAAUUUAUUGAGCAGAAAAAUUGACAUUUUUUUUUCUACACAAUUUUGACUGUAGUCAUGCUUUUGACUGCUAUCAUUUUUAUAGAAAAAAUGUCCUUUUUAGAAUAAUUUUUUAUACAUAUUCUGAGUAUACUUAGCCCUACUGAGUUUUUGUUUUUACAUAUUCAUGUAUAUUUUAUGCUUCCAUUUUACAAGUGACAUUUUUUGGGGAUAUAGUAUUCAAAAUAUUUCCCCAAAUUCAUCAGAUGCAAACGGUGCUCUGUUGUAAUUAAGCAACAACCUUUUUUUUUUUUUUUUUUUACAAUCUUAUUUUAUUG